AUGAGUCACUUCAAGCCCCCUUCACUGAAAAAAGAAGUAAAGGAGGCCAUCUUUGGUUCAGACUCUGAAGGAGCACCUAGUCCAGAUGGCCUCUCUUUCCUCUUUUUGCAAGAAUUUUGGGAAGUCAUCAAACAGGAUGUUAUGGCUCUAUUUGAUGACUUCCAUGCAGGUAACCUAGAUAUAUAUAGACUAAAUUUUGCCAUGAUUACCCUCAUACCUAAAGAAGAAGAUGCCACCAACAUGAGGAAACUUAGGCAAAUUAGCUUGCUGAAUUGUAUUUUUAAAGUUCUUACAAAAGUUCUGACCAAUAGGCUUGCUGUUGUUAUGAACUUCCUCACUUCUAGUAACCAGUCAGCUUUCAUUAAAAGGGAGAUAUAUCCUUGA
rnacentral:rRNA from 1 species